rnacentral:rRNA from 1 species
AUGAAGGCAAUGGAACUGAUUCAGAAAGGCCUAGCACCAAUGGAAUCCAACAUAAAGUGCCUGAAAGUUUCACUGGAAUUGGACCGCUUGCAGUUGCACACCCAACUGAACGAGAAGAUUGUCUUGAGGAGUACCAGGAUGCAUCUUCUUUUCUUCAUCAAUCAGAUCCGGAAGAUGGUGCAGCAAUGGCACUUUUCAAGAGAAUCAAGCAUGACUGAUUUUCCUGCUGGAUCCGAAGUUGAAAACGAAGCUGAAUAUUAUGCGGAGAAUAUAACUCCUGGAUUGGUUGGGCGUGAAGAUGGCUUAAACCUGCAGAGUACAGGUGACUGCUCAGCAGACAUUGACAGCAACAAUACAAAUAUUGUGGUUGACAGCAAAUCUGAUAAAACAUCUGGCAGUUGUGAGUUUAUUGGUGAUUUAAAUCCCUCAUCUCUUCAGAAGUGCUCUCCGCUUAUGUCCGACCCAGAAUCCCAAUCUGCAUGUUCCAGGAAGGUGGGCAGUUUCUUUAAAGAUGUAUGCUCUGUACCUGGUUAUCAGAAUGAUCUGGCUGUUACUAAUGUCGACGGCAUGCUCAAGUCCAUUGCUGAGGACAACUGCAGUAAAGGCAUUUUAGUUAAGGGCAGUGCAUUGGAUUCUUCCUGUGAGGCGAGGCCUGAACAACAAGAGGAAAUCUGCAACAGAGAGAGUGCCACUGAGGUUCCAACAAAUUAUCAAGUGUCUACAAGUCAGGAGCAUGUCACAUUACUAAUGGAUCAAGUGACUUCUACCAAGAAUCUAUUCAAUAUAGAUGACACCAGGAGUGAUGACUUAUUUGAGCUUGCUUCUGGUUACCAUUUGGAGGCACCAAAUGUUUUUGAAUCAGAGCAGGAAGUUGACUCUACAUCUCAGACAGUUUCCAACCAAACCAGCGUUGCUGAUGGGAAACACUGUCCGAUCUCAGACAGUUCAGAACAUAAAACUUUACUGGACAUAUUUGUACCAUUGUUUGUUCUACCAAUUCUUCUAUUUUGGGGUUGGGAAUCUACAAUUCCUAAAUAG